GCCGGGGUGUCGGAACCGGAAGACGAUGGCGCCUCAAAAGCGCCUGCCCGAAAGGGCGUGCGGGUUCGAAUCCCGCCCCCGGCACCA
rnacentral:tRNA from 1 species